rnacentral:rRNA from 1 species
UACGGAGGGAGCUAGCGUUGUUCGGAAUUACUGGGCGUAAAGCGCACGUAGGCGGCUAUUCAAGUCAGAGGUGAAAGCCCAGGGCUCAACCCUGGAACUGCCUUUGAAACUAGAUAGCUAGAAUUCUGGAGAGGUCAGUGGAAUUCCGAGUGUAGAGGUGAAAUUCGUAGAUAUUCGGAAGAACACCAGUGGCGAAGGCGACUGACUGGACAGAUAUUGACGCUGAGGUGCGAAAGCGUGGGGAGCAAACAGG